rnacentral:rRNA from 1 species
UGGGGAAUCUUGCGCAAUGGGCGAAAGCCUGACGCAGCAACGCCGCGUGAGCGAAGAAGGCCUUCGGGUUGUAAAGCUCUGUCAGGAGGAAAGAAGGCACCUGGGUUAAUAGCCCAAGGGCUGACGGUACCUCCAAAGGAAGCCACGGCUAAAUACGUGCCAGCAGCCGCGGUAAUACGUAGGUGGCAAGCGUUGUCCGGAAUCAUUGGGCGUAAAGAGCGCGUAGGUGGCUUGUCAGGUACGGUGUGAAAUUUCGGGGCGCAACCACGAACCUGCAUCGGAAACCGGCUUGCUAGAGGCUGGGAGAGGAGAGUGGAAUUCCUUGUGUAGCGGUGAAAUGCGUAGAUAUCAGGAGGAACACCGGUAGCGAAGGCGGCUCUCUGGAACAGUACUGACGCUGAGGCGCGAAAGCUAGGGGAGCGAACA